GUGUGCCUUUGGGAAGGGUAUCCUCCACCCACUGUGCACCCACCCGACCUGUGGCUUGGAGCAGGCCCUCCCUGGCCAGCAGCUCUGCUUCUGCUGAGUGAAGAGGAAGGAGCACUUGGCUCUCCCUCCAGGAGGUGCAUGAAGAUUAAUUAGCAUCCCCCAGGCCCCGGCAGCACAUUCGAGUGUGAGAAGCGCUGCCCCAGUGGACAGAAGCAAAGCCUAUCACACCCGCACCGACUCUCCCGGGUUCUGCACACAGCUGUGCAGGUUGUAUACUGCACUGCACCUGGGCCCUCACUAUGCCGGCGGUGGGCGGCGGGGAGGGGGGUGCUUCCUAGCCUGCUCCCCCACCAUUUAGUCUUCUUCAAUGGCUUUCCUGCUCUGAAAAGUUAUUUGUUCAGGGCUCUAUCUGCUCCCUCUUGUCUGAGGUGUCUAAUCUGGUAAAUGAAUCCAAGCUAAUUACCCAUGGGUGUGUGGGUGAUACAUUUCCCUCCUCCUGGC
rnacentral:lncRNA from 1 species